CCCUUAGAUGUUCUGGGCCGCACGCGCGCUACGCUGAUGCAUUCAACGAGUCUAAAACCUGCUCUGAUAGGGGUGGGUAAUCUUUUGAAUGUGCAUCGUGAUUGGGAUAGAUGAUUGCAAUUUUUCAUCUUCAACGAGGAAUGCCUAGUAAACGCAAGUCAUCAGCUUGCAUUGAUUACGUCCCUGCCCUUUGUACACACCGCCCGUCGCUCCUACCGAUUGAAUGAUCCGAUGAAUAUCAUGGAUUGAGGAUGCAGGCAGGUUCGCCUGUCUUCAUCUUCGAGAAGUGAAGUAAAUCUUAUCAUUUAGAGGAAGGAGAAGUCGUAACA
rnacentral:rRNA from 1 species